rnacentral:tmRNA from 1 species
UCCCUUCCAUUCAGGUGCAAAAAUCCCUAUAUAUGGCCUGUCGGGCAACCGACUAUGGCGAUAAACGGUCUACGGAAUAGGUGUUGCGGACCCGGGGGCGGUACCCGGCGCCUCCACCACAUACAGAUUUACGGUAAUAUUCGGUGAUGAAGUCUGUAUCUGAUGGGGGCGAAACAGGAUCGACGUGCACAGUAAAGGUAUAUUUUUCGCUCGGUAUGAUAUCCGCCGUUACCGGGUCAAUCACUACAAAUGCAAAUGACAAUCGUCAAGCAUUUGCGGUCGCAGCUUAACAGCUGAGUCCACGGGGUUCGAGGGGCACCUGGCAACAGAAGCCCCUCACU